GUGGGGAAUCUUGCGCAAUGGGCGAAAGCCUGACGCAGCCAUGCCGCGUGGAUGAUGAAGGUCUUAGGAUUGUAAAAUCCUUUCACCGGUGAAGAUAAUGACUGUAGCCGGAGAAGAAGCCCCGGCUAACUUCGUGCCAGCAGCCGCGGUAAUACGAAGGGGGCUAGCGUUGCUCGGAUUUACUGGGCGUAAAGGGCGCGUAGGCGGACAUUUAAGUCAGGGGUGAAAUCCCGGGGCUCAACCUCGGAACUGCCUUUGAUACUGGGUGUCUUGAGUAUGAGAGAGGUGUGUGGAACUCCGAGUGUAGAGGUGAAAUUCGUAGAUAUUCGGAAGAACACCAGUGGCGAAGGCGACACACUGGCUCAUUACUGACGCUGAGGCGCGAAAGCGUGGGGAGCAAACAGGAUUAGAACCCCUGUAGUCC
rnacentral:rRNA from 1 species